rnacentral:rRNA from 1 species
AUGGCCGCCGACGGCGAGCACGGGCAUCCCACGCUGCACACGCACAACGUGGACGAGGUGAGCCCGACCCUGCCGCUGGAAACGCGGUGGCCACCGUCCGCGCACCGCCGGUACCGCGGCUUCUGGGUGCCCGAGCUGUUCCUGCCGGCGUUGGCGGCCUUCAACGACCACUUCGAGCCGGCGCCAGGCGACGUGCUCCUGGUCACCUGCCCCAAGUCCGGCACCACGUGGCUGAAGGCCCUCGCCUUCGCCAUCGCGCACCGCGCCGCGCACCCGCCGUCGUCCGCCGACCACCCGCUCCUGGUCCGCAACCCGCACGGCUGCGUCGGGUUCCUGGAAGGCGUCUUCUUCGGCCACUCUGUCGAGGAGGCGCGCGACGUCCUGGCCGCCGCGUGCCCGUCCCCGCCGCGCGUGCUCUCCACCCACUGGGCCUACUCUCAGCUGCCGGAGCGCGUCACGGGCGGCUGCCGGAUCGUGUACCUCUGCCGGGACCCCAAGGACGUGCUGGUGUCGUGGUACUGGUUCCUCAAGAAGGUGGUUGCCCACGGCGCCACCGGCGACCACCCCGACCUCGACUUCGCCGAGCUCUACGAGGUGUUCUGCGAGGGCCGCAACGGAUACGGCCCCGUGUGGCGGCAGGCGGCCGAGUACUGGGAGGCGAGCAGGGAUCGGCCGGACAAGGUGCUCUUCCUCAGGUACGAGGAGAUGUUGCGCGACCCGUCGGGCAACGUCCGGAGGCUGGCGCGGUUCAUGGGGUGGCCGUUCACGGCGGAGGAGGAGGACGCCGGCGUGGUGGGCGCCAUCCUGGAGCUGUGCAGCCUGGAGAAGCUGCGGAACCUGGAGGUGAACAGGAACGGCGCGCCGGCGAUUCCCGUCGUCUCCAACGACGCCUUCUUCAGGAAGGGCGUGGUAGGCGACUGGCGCAACCACAUGACGCCGGCCAUGGCGGCGAGGCUGGAUGGCAUCGUCGACGACGCCCUGCGAGGCACGGGCUUCUCCUUUACUGACUCUGGCCACGCGGAAGAAGGCGUUGCGCCGUAG